GUGAACAUUACGUGAUCUACAAAAAUAUAUGUAUUUAUCUAAAAAAUAAUUCACUUUUAUCACCCUACUAUGAUAUAUUACUUUUAACUUCCAUCUCCUGUCUACACAUUUUUAUAAUAAGGCUUUCUUUCUUUGAAUUGCUGUUUAAAAGAUUAGAAAAUUUUUAUAUUUGUUAUCUACAUACCUCAGCAUCCAUGGAGCACUGGUUCUAAGAUCCCUGAAGAUACUAAAUCCAUAGACACUCAAAUCUCUUCUAUGUAUAAAGUGCCACAGUAUUUGAAUAUGAUUUACACACACUUGUCCAUAUGCUUUGAGUCACUUCUAGGUUGUUUAUUGUGAUGUCAGCUUGCAUAAGAAACACUCAACUGAUUGGCUUAGCAUACUCCUGGGCGUGUCUGAUGAAGGAUUUACUGAAGUGGGAAGGAAGCUCCACCCUGGGUGUGGGUGGCACCAACCAGUAGGAUUGUAGCCUGGGUGGAAUAAAAAGGGAAAGAGAAAGCAGAUCUUGCUUCUGCUUCUUCAGAGAGCUCCAGGCUUCGCCAGUGGCUUUGGACUUUCAUCUUCAGCCUUCCGACCAAACUCAGGUUUUUCAGCACAGACCCUUUAGCUUCCUAAUACGGACAUUCAUGGGACUUUGCAAUGAGCUAGAGACCUUUGGGUUGUGACUGAAUUCUUUGGGUCUCCUUCACACAGAUGGCCCUUUUACAUUCCUCCACACCUAACUCAGCAUGAGGCCAUUAUAAACCUACUUUGUAAAUAUAUAUAUAUAUAUAUAUAUAUAUAUAUAUGUGCAUGUAUGUGUGUGUGUAUUUUAUAUUAAAUCUGAUCCUCUAGCUAUACCUUAUUGAUUAGAGAAUAAUUAUAAGGAAAAGAAAUCUUGAUAUGUUCAGUAAUGAUGCACUUUUUUACUUUUGAAUAUUUUCUAUCUGUAGUUGGCGAAUCUGUGGAUGUGGAACCCAUGGAUACAGAGCACUGACUGUGAAAUUCAGUUCUCCAAUAAGAAUUCAAGGAAAGCAGAAGUAUCAAACUGGACCACUUCCCCUGCUGACCUAGCUGACCCAGAAGAUCAGGCUUUGUGCCUUUGCCUGACUCGUGAGUGUCUGUGUCUUCAUCUACUGAAGAGUAGAAGGGAAAGCAAAGGAGAGUGACCAGGAGCACAUUGUAAGCCUAAGCACCCGGAGCUGCGCACCUCUGGAUAGUGACUACAUAUACUGACAGUGCCUCUCUGGAUGUGUCUUCUAUUGUGAAACCUGGAGCUCUGAAUUCUCACCAUCCUUAAGGGUUUAUUUAUGUUUAUUUUGUUGCAAUUCAUCAUUUUGGGGUUGGGGGAAUGUUGCUGGGAAUCGAACUCAGGGCCUCAUGCUUGCCAGGCAGGCUCUGUGCUGCUGAGCUACAUCCUCGGCCCUGUUGCAAGUCAUCUUAAAGAUGAAAGCUGAAAGGUAGGCGGUUGAGCUUCUCUUUCAACAUCUGGUGUUUACUACAGCUCUGUAAAGUAAAUUUUUUCCCUCAUUUUUGAAUUCAGUGCAUUUCUUUCCCUGAGAACAAAAGUGUUAUUGAUGUUACAAUAAAAUGAAAUUG
ensembl:lincRNA